rnacentral:sRNA from 1 species
AUGGCGACUUCUGGUUCAUCAAACGAUACACGUAACUUCCAGUGCGUUACAGUAGCCAGCGCUGGUGUCAUAAAACUGCCUCUUAUAGACAUUUUGGCCAGUUAUAUUCAGCCUAAAGAUCUUUUCCAAAAGAUUAAGCCAUGUUCAACUCUUCAACUUCGUGCAGACCAACUAAAGAUCUGCUUUAUUCCACCACCUGGUGUUCCUGAUUACAACAAAUUUGAUGUCACAUUGCUAUACACACUUAUUCGGAAUCUAUGUUCGAAAUCUUUACCGUGUCCAGCACAAGGAUGGGGAAAGGAGCCAAAGGCUAAUGACACACAGAUUAGUGAUGACAUUGAGCGGCUGAGAUUAUUCAGAAACAACUUCAGCGCUCAUGCUGAGUCUGCAGUGAUUUCUGAUGCUGUGUUUAAAGGUGUUUGGAAAAAUCUAAAGUUUGUUUUCAGGAGAAUUCAAUCAAAAACGGGAAGCAGUGUAGAUUAUGAAGAAGAGUUGUUAAAUAUAGAACAACAAAGAUUUACAGAUGACAAUUUUAUCACAUGUAGGGUCCUUUUAGAAGCUCUUACAAAGUUAGAAAAACAAACAGAUGGUAGAGAAGAACCGGAUAUUUUUAUACAAGCUGAAAAUGAAAUAACUUGUGGAGAUAAAGCUCAAAUAGAAGCAGAGGUGAAAAAUGUUGAAUGCUCAUGUUGGUCAGUUACAUGGCAGAAACGCAGAGGAGAUGUCUUUGAAUGUAUAGACACAAGUUUGGAGAAGUACAGUGGUAGUACAAAGAGAAACCUUGUCAUAAACGAUGUAUCCAAGGAGGAUGAAGGAGAAUAUCAGGCUGUCGUCUCCUUAAAAUCAAAAGGACCCGAGUACAAAUCUAGAAAUAUCAUUCCUCUGUAUGUCAAUGGAUACAAAGAAGUUGCAUUCCAUGUACAAAGGGACGUAUCUAGUUACACUAGAAGUUAUAUCCAUCAUGUCAUAAAGACAGUUGCUGUUAUUAUUGAAUGUAAAGAAGAAGACACCCUGUUCAACGGUGUUCGACAUUCCGAACGUUUUAUGCUUUCUCUAUCAGUAAAGGAGGUGUACUCUGGGAAAUUGUUAGCCUUGAGGGAGAAAGACCGUACCAAGCUAAGAAGGCUAAACAUUGCCUAUUUGAUUAUUGACGGAGAAAGUAUUCACAUAGAAAGAUCAAAAGGUAAAUAA